rnacentral:rRNA from 1 species
UACAGAGGGUGCAAGCGUUAAUCGGAAUUACUGGGCGUAAAGCGUGCGUAGACGGUUAUUUAAGUCAGGUGUGAAAGCCCCGGGCUCAACCUGGGAAUUGCAUUUGAGACUGAAUAGCUAGGGUGCGGAAGAGGGAAGCGGAAUUCCCGGUGUAGCGGUGAAAUGCGUAGAUAUCGGAAGGAACACCAGUGGCGAAAGCGGCUUCCUGGUCCAGCACCGACGUUCAGGCACGAAAGCGUGGGGAGCAAACAGG